GUGAUUGCCUGCUAAUGGCUUCUCUACUGCAGUUUAUGGCUAUCACAAACAGCAACAUGAUUCCUGCCAAGAGGACCUGUCAAGCGGUUAGGUGACCUGUGUGAUGGCUUCAUACAAA